CGGACGAACGCUGGCGGCGUGCCUAACACAUGCAAGUCGAGCGGGGUUGAGGCGAGAGGUAACUCGAACUUCUACCUAGCGGCGGACGGGUGAGUAACGCGUGGGCAACCUGCCUCAAGGUUUGGGAUAACAGCCCGAAAGGGCUGCUAAUACCGGAUAUGCCUAUGGCCUCGCAUGGGGCUAUGAGCAAAGGGGAAACCCGCCUUGAGAUGGGCCCGCGUCCCAUCAGCUAGUUGGUGAGGUAACAGCUCACCAAGGCGACGACGGGUAGCCGGCCUGAGAGGGUGACCGGCCACACUGGGACUGAGACACGGCCCAGACUCCUACGGGGGGCAGCAGUGGGGGAUCUUGCACAAUGGGCGAAAGCCUGAUGCAGCGACGCCGCGUGAAGGAUGAAGGUCUUCGGAUUGUAAACUUCUAUCAGCAGGGAAGAAAGGGCCUAUGGCCUAUGACGGUACCUGACUAAGAAGCCCCGGCUAACUACGUG
rnacentral:rRNA from 1 species